UACAGAGGGUGCGAGCGUUGUUCGGAAUUACUGGGCGUAAAGCGUGCGCAGGCGGUUUUCCAAGACAGAUGUGAAAUCCCCGGGCUCAACCUGGGAAUGGCAUUCGGGACUGCAAGGCUGGAGUGCGGCAGAGGAGACUGGAAUUCCUGGUGUAGCAGUGAAAUGCGUAGAUAUCAUGAGGAAUACCAGAGGCGAAGGCGGCUACCUGGACAAUUGCUGACGCUCAGGCACGAAAGCGUGGGGAGCAAAAGGG
rnacentral:rRNA from 1 species